AUGGAACUCGAGAGCACCAUUUUCAGGGACGAAGAUAAGCUGUUUAUUUGGGGCAGGCUGUGGGGAGAGCUGUGCAGCAAACAGCCACCCGGGGCCCAGGGCAGAGGCCUUCCAGGCUGGCUCGGGCACUUCUGGGUCCCAUGUCCCUGGUUUUGCAUCAUCCAUACCAAUCACUCCAUGUUGCUAUGUUCCUUCACCAGAAGACUGGGGGCUCAAAAAGGGCAGGGCAGCCCUCACUCACCAGUCUCCCCAGCCUCACCCAGCUCAGCACAGGGCACCAGGCAGGGGCUGAGAGUGCUGGGGUAG
ensembl:lncRNA GTSE1-DT GTSE1 divergent transcript